rnacentral:tRNA from 1 species
GCUAGCAUAGUGUAGUGGUUUGAGCAUUGGAACUAUGACUCUGGAGACCAGGGUUCAAAUCCCUGCUGGAA